rnacentral:rRNA from 1 species
CGGUGGCUAUGGCGGUGGGGUCACACCCGUUCCCAUUCCGAACACGGAAGUUAAGCCCACCAGCGCCGAUGGUACUUGGGAGGAGACUCCCUGGGAGAGUAGGACGCCGCC